CUAAGGGCCACAAAAGGUGCAGAUUCCAAGCACUUGACAAAUCAUCUCUGGGCAUCAUAAAAACCUGCUGAGCGUCCCCAGGUCUAGGUCAGCCCCGGCAGCUGAGGAACAGAGUAGGUGGUGUCAAAAAUAUGGUCCUUUGGAACGUUUCUCCAAAGAAUCGCGCCCUUCGCGGUCCUGCAUUCCUGCUGCUGGAAAAACGAAUCGGCUCCAAUGGUCUUGUCAUAGGUGAAACUGGACAGGAGUGUAGAGACAAGGGGAGACUUGAACCAGCAAUGUGUUGACUGUGAUGGAGAGCAGCCAGCGUGAAAUAAAGAGAACUUUAAUUUUUAUAGACGUGGUAGUGAAGGAAACAGGUUGGGAGCAACAAGAGGGGGCCUCCACAGAGUGAAGAAGAAAAA
rnacentral:lncRNA from 1 species